GACGAACCGUGCGAACGUUGUCCGGAAUUAUUGGGCGUAAAGAGCUUGUAGGCGGUUUGUCGCGUCUGCCGUGAAAUUUCGGGGCUCAACCCCGAACUUGCGGUGGGUACGGGCAGACUAGAGUGUGGUAGGGGAGACUGGAAUUCCUGGUGUAGCGGUGAAAUGCGCAGAUAUCAGGAGGAACACCGGUGGCGAAGGCGGGUCUCUGGGCCGAUAUUGACGCUGAGGAGCGAAAGCGUGGGGAGCGAACAGG
rnacentral:rRNA from 1 species